ensembl:ncRNA lncRNA:CR46351 long non-coding RNA:CR46351
GGCAGGCGCGGGCCAAAGUCGGAUAAUUAGCCAUGGCUACUCACUCAGGUAGACUCUCCUUGGCAUCGCCUCCUGGCCAAGGCCGUCCUGCACUGUCUGGUUAGGGUUAGUUACGAACGCAUCAAGAAGCCAUUAGCAGGGGAUUAGCGAGGUGAUCUAACAGCUAGCUGAUCAUCCAACCCGUCACUUUGGCCAGGAGCUGGUGACAGUCAUCGUCGGUCAGUUGGCCCACACAGCGAGAAAUGGAACGGAUAUUUAUGUGACUAAUUUCCAUUUAAGUUACCAUCUCCUUGCAUGUUUCCCAGUAUUACUGAACAUUAUACGUGUAUUAUACACUAGAAUUGAUUUAUUAUCAAUCU